UCGAUCGUCAGGACGCCCCAGCCGCCAGAGCCCUUCGCCACCGCCGAGAUCCGAGAGGAGCCGCCGCCUCCAGGUCAUCACCGAGGUCCGCAAUCGCCGACGUUGAGGUCCGAGAGGAGCCGCCGCCGCACCGUCUUCCUCCUCCGCCAAUCUCCGAGGCGCCCUACUCGUGCGCCGCCGUCGCCGCCUCACAGAACCCUAGGGCAGGGCAGGGCGUGGUCGCGUUGCGGGCAGCGAGGAGCAACGCCGGCGCUUGCGUCGCCAGUUAGCGAGAGAGGAAGGGAGUGACGACGAUGUCUUCGUGCGAGGACAAGGACUCUGCUGCCGCGCAGGCCGCGGCGACCACGGACGUGGAGCCGCUGAAGCAGUUUUGGCGCAACGAGAAGGCCGCGCUGGAGAUCUGCCACUUCGACUCCGCCCUCGUCUCCCUUGCCCUAUGGCCAUUGGUUGUGUCAUCGUUCUUCACAAUACUGAAUGUUUCUGAUUCUUCACGGCCUGUGCUGAAACCAGGAGGAGACGUUCGAUGACUUCACGGAUAACGACAUCGACGACUGGUGGUUUCGCUGUACCAGAUGGAGCUCGAUCGCACGCUCUUCCUGCUUUGCUCUAUGGUCAUACCUGCACCUCCGCCUGCAAAAGCUCAGACUGAAUUCAGUCUCUGUAAUUCAGUCUCUAUAGUUUGUACCGCACAGUGGUUCAGUUACUAACUGAAAUGUUGCAUUAUGCAAUUACUUGACCUCAUCGUGCUGCUGUAUAUAGAUUGAAAAGUACAUGGCGCACAUCUCCAAUUCUUACGACCUCUUGAGCUGGUUGAUGCAGCAGGAGCAGCGAUUCACCAAGAGCUGCAAGGAGAUCAUGGAGAAGCAUCUCAGAGCAGUCGGUGCUGUGGAAGCUUCCCUACGGUUAUGACUCGUUGUUGCCUCCAUUGCGCGCUCGGCCUAGCUCCUGCGCCCCCUCUCGGGCUCGACCUCCCGCUGUACCUCUCCUCGACCAACUGGCCCGCCUCCCCACAUGCAUCACCAUGCUCCCCAAUGGUGUCCGCGCCUCCGAGUAGAUCCUGGUCCCUCGGCAUGUGUGGGGGUGUUCACGGCGUCCGGCUUGAUCAACGAGUUGUUGGAGUCCUCCGACAUGAAGGACCUGCUGGAUAAGUUGGCGUUCACGGACACGUCGCACGGGAGCCACUUGCAGAUCAUGCAGGAGGUGGAGGCCACGGGGGGCAACAUCGACGCCUCCGCGUCUAGGUAGCAGUUGGUGCACAGCUAUGACAUGCUCAUACAUACCGCGGGCCGUGCGUUGAACAGGAUUCUUUGAUGAUAAGUAACAGAUUUCUUCCUCCAGUGGCUAAAACAGGGGCUCCAUUUUCUCGAGUAUGGCCCUGGCUUAAAAAUCAGCGCUUGGCCACAGGCUAUGUCGUGCUCUAUUCGACCAUGCCUCCAACAUGCCCCUGGUCGCACACGCUGCUACCUUCCUUGGCGGCCUCUUCGCCACCCGUGUGUGCCGCGUUGCUGUCGUCUCCAUGCCACCCAUCAGUUGCGGUGGCGACUCAACAACUACCUUAUGCACCUAGACCCAUCUGCUUCUCUGAUUUGAUUUUGUGGGUUGCACUGAUCUCUCUUAGUACAUGUCUAUUUGCAGAGAAAUUAUUUAGAAUUCAGGCUUCAGGGAAGACUGAUCCAGACUGGCGGUACAUUUCUAAGCAUUGUGCUUUUGACAUCUGUGGGGAACUUCACUAAACAAAUUCUGAUCCUUUAGGUUUAUGAACUUUGAAUUCUGAUUUAUUUUAAGCCAAACAUUUUGUUGCUGUGCCAUUUAUUACAUCCAUCUCUGAUUCUUCCCAUAAAACCAACGUCCUUAUCUGCAUUUUUGGGGAACUUCACAUGGCCUUUUGGUCUACUUACUAUAUAUACAUAUAUACAUGGUUUUGCCAUCUAGCUAGAAGUUGAUUGGUCAAGCAUGCCAAAAAAAAAUAGUUAGGUGGUGCUAUGCGUUUCUCGGAAUUAAUAUAACUUGUGACAAUAAACUGAUUGCGGGAUCGAAACUUGCUGCAAUUUACUGCUAGGAAAUCUUAUAGGGCA